rnacentral:rRNA from 1 species
CAAUAGCGUAUAUUAAAGUUGUUGCAGUUAAAAAGCUCGUAGUUGGAUUUGUGGCGUACGGUGUGUUCCGGGCACUUGUUGUCUGAGUAACCUGCUGUUGCCAUCCUUGGGUGGAACCUGUGUGGCAUUAGGUUGUCGUGCAGGGGAUGCCCAUCAUUUACUGUGAAAAAAUUAGAGUGUUCAAAGCAGGCUUAUGCCGUUGAAUAUAAUAGCAUGGAAUAAUGAGAUAGGACUUUUUUGCUAUUUUGUUGGUUUGCGCAAAGAGGUAAUGAUUAAUAGGGACAGUUGGGGGUAUUCGUAUUCCAUUGUCAGAGGUGAAAUUCUUGGAUUUUUGGAAGACGAACUACUGCGAAAGCAUUUACCAAGGAUGUUUUCAUUAA